GGGCUCACAGGCAUCUCUACAGGGUAUAAAUAGCCCUGAGGCCGUGCUUAAGUGUCAGUUCUCUUUCUGCUCGUGUUUCUUGACUAUAUGAGCACCUGUGGGGCUGCCUCUGACUUGGCCCAUGUAGGUCUCCAGAAGCCCAGCAAAACAUCUCUCAACAUCAGUCCAUUUCCACAGAGACCACAAAUGCUGCCACUGACACACAGAGAAACAUAGGCACUGACAAUGGCUGUUCAUCCCUUCCUGAGGUUGCUUGGAUAACUAUUUUGUGAGGAAUCUGGAGUGAUAAUGUUUAAAGUGCCUAAUUCUUAGGCAGCUAAAUGAGAAGAAGCUUAUCCUUCAUACCCUUCAUUAAGAACUGAACCAGUUCAGCUAAAAUGCUGCAUAAUUAUUACAUAAACUAUCUGAUAUUCCCAAAUGCCAGUGGGGCACAGCUGAUAAAUCUCUGCCUUGUUUCCUGCUUCCCACGUGAAAAUGGCCAGGCUAAACACUGGCUGGUUUUGAAUUAGAGCAGCAAGAAAGGAAGAUCACCUGAGAGAUGCCUCCCUCUGUGUAAAUGUGUACUCAAAUACACAAGAAAAUAAUAUGAAGGAGAGCAGAUUUUGCAGUAGUCUAGUUAGAGAUUAGUAUUUGUAUUUUUUAGAUAAGCCCCUUCAUAUAGCUGAAUAGCUCUUUUUUUCUGGCAAACUGGUAAAGCUUGUCUUUUUGUGUGAAAUACACCAUAACUUGCACAAUGAGGUGAAAGUCUCAUAAACAGACAGUUUGAAAGAAAGUAGCUGUCUUUUGCUAAACAGAUGUGGGGUCAAUUUCAGAUGUCAAUAAUAAAAAAAUAAAAUGCUUGAAAACAGGGAAAUAAAUAACUGAAAAAGAACAUGGAAAUUCAUAAUUUUCUGUAAAUUAAGCCAGGCUGUUAGAAUCACAAAUUCUGUAUUUAGUAACAGAUAUUGCAAUUCUGUGGAAGCUGGUUGUCCUUCUCUUAGGUGAUGUUUAUCUGCACAAAAUACACAUGGAAGGAUACCAAAGUGUGGUUCUUGAAUAUCUCUGUAAUUUUAUGUUGGUCAGUUUACAGACAAAUUCAGGAUGCCCUGACCUAAUCUGAAUGAAUUCAGGCUAUAUAAAAUCACAUAAACAUCCACAGUAGAAAAAGCGGUAUUCUGUUUAGAAUAAAAACAAACCACAGCCAAAUCACCCCACUUAUAAUCGCUACCCCAGAUUUCUGGUUUCCAUUCAUAAAAGCCAAAUGAAUGAAAAGGCCAGGUUAUUGAGGUGGCUUCCUGAGCCACACUUCCAGCAUAACAUGACAAAGGCUGAAUUUGUGUUUAGAAUUGGUAGAUUCAGUGACUCCUAAUCCAAGUUGUGUGUCUGGUUCCUUAAAAUGACCACCACAACUAUGAUCAGCAAUUGCAUCAACAUUAGACAAUUUUGCGAUGUGUAAUGUGGCUUACAUCUGUGGCUAGAAGGCAGGAAAAACUAAUUUAAUAGUCACUGUUUU